rnacentral:rRNA from 1 species
UUGCUCCUUUGACGUUAGCGGCGGACGGGUGAGUAACACGUGGGCAACCUACCCUAUAGUUUGGGAUAACUCCGGGAAACCGGGGCUAAUACCGAAUAAUCUCUUUUGCUUCAUGGUGAAAGACUGAAAGACGGUUUCGGCUGUCGCUAUAGGAUGGGCCCGCGGCGCAUUAGCUAGUUGGUGAGGUAACGGCUCACCAAGGCGACGAUGCGUAGCCGACCUGAGAGGGUGAUCGGCCACACUGGGACUGAGACACGGCCCAGACUCCUACGGGAGGCAGCAGUAGGGAAUCUUCCACAAUGGGCGAAAGCCUGAUGGAGCAACGCCGCGUGAGUGAAGAAGGUUUUCGGAUCGUAAAACUCUGUUGUAAGGGAAGAACAAGUACAGUAGUAACUGGCUGUACCUUGACGGUACCUUAUUAGAAAGCCACGGCUAACUACGUGCCAGCAGCCGCGGUAAUACGUAGGUGGCAAGCGUUGUCCGGAAUUAUUGGGCGUAAAGCGCGCGCAGGCGGUCCUUUAAGUCUGAUGUGAAAGCCCACGGCUCAACCGUGGAGGGUCAUUGGAAACUGGGGGACUUGAGUGCAGAAGAGGAAAGUGGAAUUCCAAGUGUAGCGGUGAAAUGCGUAGAGAUUUGGAGGAACACCAGUGGCGAAGGCGACUUUCUGGUCUGUAACUGACGCUGA